rnacentral:lncRNA from 1 species
CUGAACAAGUUAGCUCCCCCAAUUGUCCCUGAGAGCACUUCACAAGUGAUUUGUAGGCCCAGGCUAGAAAGGAGUUCAAGCUCUGUUUGGCUAUCCUUCUCUAAUCUCCCUUUUAAUGUAUUCUACUGCCACCUCCAAUGAUACCCGUCAAAGAGGGCUUUCAGUUAACUGAUAGAAAUGGGUGAUGUCGGAAAGAUAAACAGUAAUGGGGGCGUACAGAUCGGACGACGAUUACGAUUAUUUGUUCAAGGUGGUGUUGAUCGGCGAUUCCGGCGUCGGAAAAUCUAAUCUUCUAUCCAGAUUUACACGUAACGAGUUCAGUCUAGAGUCAAAGUCAACGAUCGGUGUUGAAUUCGCUACUCGUAGCAUUCGUGUUGAUGAUAAGGUCGUCAAGGCUCAGAUUUGGGAUACUGCCGGUCAGGAACGGUAUCUCCAUUUUUUCAUUACUCAAUUCUAAAUUGGAUAGAUUAGCAUUUGCGGUAGAAAUUAGAAUAAUAUGUUAACAUUUGAGAUCUAAAAUGCUGAUACAAAAUUGAUUUGCAAUAAUUGACGUUAUGCAGUAUAGUUAUUGUGGCAAAGUCAGAUCUGAUACUUCCGUUAGGUUUACUUGAGAGUACAAAAUGUACCAGUAGGACAAUAACAAUGACAUACUCGGUGUAAUUGCAUAAAGUACAAUUGUUUCAGAAAAUGUUGAAAUGUUCUCUGAUUGCCAUUGGUUGAAAGAAAAUUUCUUUCAGGUUUGGCAAAAUAUUUUUGUUGAAACGAAUGCCACCUAAAUAUUUUGCUGAAAAAUGUCAAUUUCCAAUUUUUGUGUGUUGAUUACACUGAACUGUAAAAACUUAAAACUUAAGAUUGUUAGAGUAGGAAGUGCGGAACUGCUAGGAAUUUUCUGUCUGAAUAAUUUUUUGGAGAUCAUAGUCAUUCUCAUAGGAAAAGCCACUGCCUUUUGUUGUUCUUGCACCAAUUCGUAAUCGGAGGGCAAGAGAAUUGGACAGACUGCCCUCAGAAAUCAAAGACCGUUUUUCUCUGUAUUUCUCGUCCUGAACAAGUUAGCUCCCCCAAUUGUCCCUGAGAGCACUUCACAAGUGAUUUGUAGGCCCAGGCUAGAAAGGAGUUCAAGCUCUGUUUGGCUAUCCUUCUCUAAUCUCCCUUUUAAUGUAUUCUACUGCCACCUCCAAUGAUACCCGUCAAAGAGGGCUUUCAGUUAACUGAUAGAAAUGGGUGAUGUCGGAAAGAUAAAAGGAAAAACAACAGGCUUAAGAUUAUUACUUACAAAAAAAAAAAAAAAAACUAUAGUCUUAAGCUGGUCGUGUCUAAAGUGUCAUACAUUGGCAUCUGCUUUGGUGGCUAAGCGUUGCAAGUGUCUUUCCCAUAUGAGUUUUAAGCUUAAAGAAAUAUUGACUUUGCUAAACUCUGAGCAUCAUAUCAACUUGAACAUUGCUUUAUGAAAUGAUCAUGUAGUUUGAUGGCUUUCAUGUUGUUUUCCUCAAACAAAAGAUCCAGGGGAUCAACUAGGAUGAUCAAGGCUACAAUAGUGAACUUUUUUGAGUUUAAAAUUACUGCCACCCUACUACUCCCUGGGGAUCUAGUCUGCAUAAUUAAGUUAGUGUUCACAUUUUUUAUCAUGGAUUUAAGAUGCAAUGUUUUUUUCCUAAUUUGCAUUCAUUAGGGUAACAUUGAUAUUUGAAAUGAUUUAGUAUUUGUUCAUUUUAAAGUCCGAAAUGAGAUGUGAUCAUGUUCUUGUUAUGAAUAAGUUUGGUGUCCCAACUACUACGAGACUCUUUUCAUUCCUUAUCUUCACCUAUCUAUUGUUGUAUUAGUUUUCCAGCCUUGACUUUCUUCUCCUAUCUAUUGUUGUAUUAGUUUUCCAG